rnacentral:tRNA from 1 species
UAAAAAGUUAGUUAAUUAUAAUAACAUAAAUUUGUCAAAUUUAAAUUACUAUUUAAAUAGUACUUUUUAA